GAACUGAAACUCAGAGGCAGUUGCUGGACAGAGUUGGUGGACUCCUCUAGAACAAGGAGAAUCUGCUUCUCUCUAGCAGUCAGGAAAGCCCAGAGGGUUUUUGUCUGGUAUCUCUGGGGUGGACCCAGAGAGCCUGUGGUUCCCUCUUCUUUGGCUUUCUUGAUAUUCUGCCUGUCCUUGCUGCUGCUGCUACUGCUGCUACAGAGAAGUGGAUUUCAACAAUGCUGAUGAGGAAACUGAGGCUGUUAUAUCCAAGUUACACUUGGAAAAUUCAAAAGUAAAGGACUACAUAAAAGACUACUCUUGAGUAUUUGUAGCCCCUGAAGACAUUUACAAUCUUACAGAAAAAUUAAAGAAACAUAGUAAGUAUUUAAAGUAGUUAUAAGCAUAGUCAGGUUAGGGACUCCUUUCUUGAA
rnacentral:lncRNA from 1 species